AUUGCACGCUGGCGGCAGGCCUAACACAUGCAAGUCGAACGAGUGGCGGACGGGUGAGUAAUGUCUGGGAAACUGCCUGAUGGAGGGUGAUAACUACUGGCAACGGUAGCUAAUACCGCAUACCAUCGGAUGUGCCCAGAUGGGAUUAGAUAGUAGGUGGGGUAACGGCUCACCUAGGCGACGAUCCCUAGCUGUUCUGAGAGGGUGACCGGCCACAGUGGAACUGAGGCACGGUCAAGACUCCUACGGGAGGCAGCAGGGGAGAAUAUUGCUGAAUGGGCGAAAGCCAGAAGCAGCCAUGCCGCGUGUAGUAAGAAGGCAAUCAGGUUUUAAAGUACUUUCAGCUUGGAGGCGUUACCUGCAGAAGAAGCCCCGGCUAACGCCGUGCCAGCAGCCGCGGUAAUUC
rnacentral:rRNA from 1 species